GAUGAACGCUGGCGGCGUGCCUAAUACAUGCAAGUCGAGCGAACAGACGAGGAGCUUGUUCCUCUGACGUUAGCGGCGGACGGGUGAGUAACACGUGGAGAACCUACCUAUAAGACUGGGAUAACUUCGGGAAACCGGAGCUAAUACCGGAUAAUAUAUUGAACCGCAUGGUUCAAUAGUGAAAGACGGUUUUGCUGUCACUUAUAGAUGGAUCCGCGCCGCAUUAGCUAGUUGGUAAGGUAACGGCUUACCAAGGCAACGAUGCGUAGCCGACCUGAGAGGGUGAUCGGCCACACUGGAACUGAGACACGGUCCAGACUCCUACGGGAGGCAGCAGUAGGGAAUCUUCCGCAAUGGGCGAAAGCCUGACGGAGCAACGCCGCGUGAGUGAUGAAGGUCUUCGGAUCGUAAAACUCUGUUAUUAGGGAAGAACAAAUGUGUAAGUAACUAUGCACGUCUUGACGGUACCUAAUCAGAAAGCCACGGCUAACUACGUG
rnacentral:rRNA from 1 species